CAUGUCUUGUGUACAUACACAUACCUAUAAAGCAAUAUUAUAAAUAUGUUUGCACAAUAGUUCACAAAAUACUCUUACAAUUGUUUAAUUUAUUUUAGCAAUGAAUAUAUUUCACAAAAUCAAACAUAAUGUACUCAAACUUUUACAAUAGUUCAAAAACUCUUCAUUAUCCUCUUCAAUGAGAUAAAAUUGACUUGCCACGAGCCUUCAAAUUUGAUCACCUCCAUUUCUCUACACAUUUAAAAUGUACAACAAAUCAGUUUGCAAAAGUACAUCAUAGAAGAGGCAAGAAGUUCCAGAUUGCAAAUUGUAGGCUGUAGAGUUUGAGUUCCAAUUUAGAGGUCCAGAUUCAACAACUCCUCUAACAUAACAUUAAUGUGGCACCAUGUCUAACGGGAGUUUCUGACAUGACCAUACUUACAUGACAAUUUCAUGCUUAUGGAAACUUACUUUUUACUUUCCAAUAGAAAAUUUAGCAUUCAUCAAUGCUCUUAUAUUCUGAGGAUAUAUAGGCAUAAUGUAUAAGUUAUUCUCCGGUUAAAAUAUUAAUUUUACGACAUAAGAGUGAUAGGUACGUACAAGAGUACUUAAAUACAUACCCAAUAAGCAGGCAGCAGUGAAACCAGCAACACCAUAAGAGAGGUGAAUUACAAAAACUCCAGAAAAGCCAAUAACUCCCAUCAUGAACAGCCAACCUUGAG
rnacentral:lncRNA from 1 species